GCUCCAGUGGCCUAGUGGUUAGAGCAUUUGCCUUGGAUGCAGGAGGUCGUGGGUUUGAUCCCUAGUCAAGUA